rnacentral:rRNA from 3 species
CUCCUGGAAACGGGUGGUAAUGCCGGAUGCUCCAGUUGAUCGCAUGGUCUUCUGGGAAAGCUUUCGCGGUAUGGGAUGGGGUCGCGUCCUAUCAGCUUGACGGCGGGGUAACGGCCCACCGUGGCUUCGACGGGUAGCCGGCCUGAGAGGGCGACCGGCCACAUUGGGACUGAGAUACGGCCCAGACUCCUACGGGAGGCAGCAGUGGGGAAUAUUGCACAAUGGGCGCAAGCCUGAUGCAGCGACGCCGCGUGAGGGAUGGAGGCCUUCGGGUUGUAAACCUCUUUUAUCGGGGAGCAAGCGAGAGUGAGUUUACCCGUUGAAUAAGCACCGGCUAACUACGUGCCAGCAGCCGCGGUAAUACGUAGGGUGCAAGCGUUAUCCGGAAUUAUUGGGCGUAAAGGGCUCGUAGGCGGUUCGUCGCGUCCGGUGUGAAAGUCCAUCGCUUAACGGUGGAUCCGCGCCGGGUACGGGCGGGCUUGAGUGCGGUAGGGGAGACUGGAAUUCCCGGUGUAACGGUGGAAUGUGUAGAUAUCGGGAAGAACACCA